CGCGUAGGCGGAUCGACCAGUCAGGGGUGAAAUCCCGGGGCUCAACCUCGGAACUGCCUUUGAUACUGUCGAUCUAGAGUCUGUGAGAGGGUGGCGGAAUACCCAGUGUAGAGGUGAAAUUCGUAGAUAUUGGGUAGAACACCAGUGGCGAAGGCGGCCACCUGGCGCAGUACUGACGCUGAGGCGCGAAAGUGUGGGGAGCAAACA
rnacentral:rRNA from 1 species